rnacentral:rRNA from 1 species
ACGGCCGCGGUACCCUAACCGUGCAAAGGUAGCAUAAUCACUUGUUCUUUAAAUAAGGACUUGUAUCAACGGCAUCACGAGGGUUCUACUGUCUCCUCUCUCUAAUCGGUGAAACUGAUCUCCCUAUGAAAAAGUGGGGAUAAACUUAUAAGACGAGAAGACCCCAUGGAGCUUUAAAACCUAUAGCAACCUACCAAACACUUCCAUUUAGCUAUAAAACUAUGCUCAAGGACUUUAGGUUGGGAGGACCACGGAGCACAAAAUAACCUCCGCAAUGAAAAGAAUAAAAUCUUUACCAAAGAGCCACAACUCCAAGAAUUAGAAAACUAACGUACAAUGACCCGAUAUCGAUCAAUGAACUAAGUUACCCUGGGGAUAACAGCGCAAUCCAUUCUGAGAGUUCAUAUCGACGAACGGGCUUACGACCUCGAUGUUGGAUCAGGGUAUCCUGGUGGUGCAGCCGCUACCGAAGGUUCGUUUGUUCAACGAUU